rnacentral:rRNA from 1 species
GACGAACGCUGGCGGCGUGCUUAACACAUGCAAGUCGAACGGAAAGGCCCUGCUUUUGUGGGGUGCUCGAGUGGCGAACGGGUGAGUAACACGUGAGUAACCUGCCCUUGACUUUGGGAUAACUUCAGGAAACUGGGGCUAAUACCGGAUAGGAGCUCCUGCUGCAUGGUGGGGGUUGGAAAGUUUCGGCGGCUGGGGAUGGACUCGCGGCUUAUCAGCUUGUUGGUGGGGUAGUGGCUUACCAAGGCUUUGACGGGUAGCCGGCCUGAGAGGGUGACCGGCCACAUUGGGACUGAGAUACGGCCCAGACUCCUACGGGAGGCAGCAGUGGGGAAUAUUGCACAAUGGGCGGAAGCCUGAUGCAGCAACGCCGCGUGCGGGAUGUCGGCCUUCGGGUUGUAAACCGCUUUCGCCUGUGACGAAGCGUGAGUGACGGUAAUGGGUAAAGAAGCACCGGCUAACUACGUG